rnacentral:misc_RNA from 1 species
UCCGGCUUGACGCCGGCAGUCCCCCGACAGCCAUGCAGCACCUGUGUGUAGGUCCCGUAAGGGAAGGAAUCCAUCUCUGGAAACCGUCCUACCAUGUCAAACGCUGGUAAGGUUCUGCGCGUUGCUUCGAAUUAAACCACAUGCUCCACCGCUUGUGCAGGCCCCCGUCAAUUUCUUUGAGUUUUAACCUUGCGGCCGUACUCCCCAGGCGGAUGACUUAACGCGUUAGCUGCGCCACCGAAACGCCAAGCGCCCCGACAGCUAGUCAUCAUCGUUUACGGCGUGGACUAC